GCGAUAACGAGCGAGACCUUCCUCUGCUAAAUAGCCCGGCUAGCUUUGGCUGGUCGCUGGCUUCUUAGAGAGACUAUCGUCUCAAGUCGAUGGAAGUUGGAGGCAAUAACAGGUCUGUGAUGCCCUUAGAUGUUCUCGGCCGCACGCGCGCUACAAUGUUUAAGCCAACGAGUAUUUCACCUUGACCGAAAGGCCUGGGUAAUCUUGUUAAACUUAAACGUGCUGGGGAGUAGAGCAUUGCAAUC
rnacentral:rRNA from 1 species